GAUCCCAUCAGAACUCCGAAGUUAAGCGUGCUUGGGCGAGAGUAGUACUAGGAUGGGUGACCCCCUUGGAAGUCCUCGUGUUGCACCC
rnacentral:rRNA from 1 species